rnacentral:rRNA from 1 species
AGUGAACGCUGGCGGUAGGCCUAACACAUGCAAGUCGAACGGCAGCACAGUAAGAGCUUGCUCUUACGGGUGGCGAGUGGCGGACGGGUGAGGAAUACAUCGGAAUCUACUUUUUCGUGGGGGAUAACGUAGGGAAACUUUCGCUGAUACCGCAUACGACCUACGGGUGAAAGCAGGGGAUCUUCGGACCUUGCGCGAUUGAAUGAGCCGAUGUCGGAUUAGCUAGUUGGCGGGGUAAAGGCCCACCAAGGCGACGAUCCGUAGCUGGUCUGAGAGGAUGAUCAGUCACACUGGAACUGAGACACGGUCCAGACUCCUACGGGAGGCAGCAGUGGGGAAUAUUGGACAAUGGGCGCAAGCCUGAUCCAGCCAUACCGCGUGGGUGAAGAAGGCCUUCGGGUUGUAAAGCCCUUUUGUUGGGAAAGAAAAGCAGCAGGUUAAUACCCCGCUGUUCUGACGGUACCCAAAGAAUAAGCACCGGCUAACUUCGUG